UAAAUUCAAAGACUAAAUUAUUACUAAUAUUAAAGCAACAGAGAUUAAAUUGUUAUAAAAAGUGAAAUGUGAUGGACUAAACUAUAACAGCCUUCAACCCACUGAUGUUGAAUUUUAACAGAAUGACCAUUUUGUUAAUAGAAACAUAACUCGGGGACUACUUCUUUCUCCUUGAAAAUAGAGGGACCAAGUUGUGGCUUUUAUCUUAUCUUAGUGACUAAAUUAUAAAUUAACCUAAAUGUUAAUUAAAGAACAAUGUCUAAGGGUUUCCAAACAUGCACCCCACCCUUAAGUCAUAUAGCACAUUAAAAAGAAAACAAAAGUAGAUCAGUAGUAUAUUAACAAAUAAAGAAGAAUAGAAAUCACCACUGAAUAACAUUUGAACUACUUCAGAUACCUGCCUAGAAUACUUUGAACAUUUUUUAACAGACUCAAUUUGUGAACACAUCAAAGUGACAAUCAAAUUAGGCCGCAAGGUAAACUAAAUUUUAUGUGUCAUUUAUGACAUGCAAUCAACAUAUUUAAUAAAUUUGUAUGCAAUAAAGGCCCUAAUUUAUGAAAUUCUAGGCAUAAAGCAACCCUGGAU
rnacentral:misc_RNA from 1 species